UAUUGCUAUGGUACCAUAGAAUCUUAGGCCUGGAAGGGACGUUGAGAGGUCAUGUAGACCAGUCUACUGCACUAAUGGCAGGACUAAAUAUUAUCU